rnacentral:rRNA from 1 species
CUUACCGGGUCCGGACACACUGAGGAUUGACAGGUGAACGUAGUUAGCUUGCUAUCUACUGCAAAUAUGCUAGUCCUUUCAUGAUUGUGUGAUAGGUGGUGCAUGGCCGUUCUUAGUUCGUGGAGUGAUCUGUCUGCUUAAUUGCGUUUCAGAUAAAGGUCUUUUGUAGUGCGUCUUUGGUGUGACCGUCUUCGGACGAUGUCCCCAUUGGCGGCUCAUUGACUUUGAAGGCAACGAACGUGACCGCAGCCCCUUGUUGCCUCCCUUGUAUUCAUCCGAGUACACUGCUACUUUGACAAUUGCUCUUCGUCGAGUUUUUGUUGGAGAUUUGCAGAGUGGAGUGCUAACUAGGGGGACAGCUGAAUUUCUAAGCAGAGGAAGGAUGCGGCAAUAACAGGUCUGUGAUGCCCUUAGAUGUUCCGGGCUGCACACGUGCUACAAUGAUUAUCGCACUGAGCUUCUUACCGGUCUGAAUGCGUAGCCUUUUGGUUGCGUAACUUCAGCAAACCUACUUUGGGAGGAGUAGGUAAUCACUUCAAAGUGAUGAUUCCCUAAGCAUAUAAAGCGUUUAGGCAGAUCUUUCUUCGGGGAGGUUUGUUUGAGCGUGCUCCGUUAGUUCGUGGUGGGGACAGACCAUUGCAAUUAUUGGUCUCGGUCUCAACUAGGAAUGCCUUGUACGGGUCGUUCAACAGACGGCCCGGAAUAUGUCCCUGCCCUUUGUACACACCGCCCGUCGCUCUUACCGAUGGACUUCUCUGUGAGGUUGAGGGACUUGCGCUUUAACGCUACAGAAACUCAUUCGAACAGUGUGGUCUAAAGGAAAGAGAAGUCGUAACAAGGCAUCGGUAGGUGAACC